UGCCGGCGCGGGAGUGAAGGAACGCCGACAGUCCCCGCCCCCCAGCCAAGGCCUCUUAAAGAAACAGGUCUCCUUUCUUCGGCAGGCUCUCUGGUCUGGAGGAACGUGAUUUCCCAGCAAAGGCAAGAGGCGAACCCAGCCCUGACCACAUGAUGAGGAGGACAAUGAGGAGGAUGAUGUGCAGGGGGAGGACAGAGUCACGGCACAGAGGGUACCAGGGUCCCCAAUGAUCACCUGGGGCCGAAAGCUCCCUACCGCCCUGCAACGCUCAUUUCAUAUUUUAAUAUGAAAAAGAAAUAAUCUUUGCUCUUUGA